rnacentral:rRNA from 1 species
UACGUAGGGGGCAAGCGUUGUCCGGAUUUAUUGGGCGUAAAGAGCGUGUAGGCGGCCAGGUAGGUCAGCUGUGAAAACUCGAAGCUCAACCUCGAGACGCCGGUUGAAACCAUCUGGCUAGAGUCCGGAAGAGGAGAGUGGAAUUCCUGGUGUAGCGGUGAAAUGCGCAGAUAUCAGGAAGAACACCCGUGGCUAAGGCGGCUCUCUAGUACGGUACUGACGCUGAGACGCGAAAGCGUGGGGAGCGAACAGG